GUGAAAUUGAACUCGCUGUGAAGAUGCAGUGUACCCGCGGCAAGACGGAAAGACCCCGUGAACCUUUACUAUAGCUUGACACUGAACAUUGAGCCUUGAUGUGUAGGAUAGGUGGGAGGCUUUGAAGUGUGGACGCCAGUCUGCAUGGAGCCGACCUUGAAAUACCACCCUUUAAUGUUUGAUGUUCUAACGUGGACCCGU
rnacentral:rRNA from 12 species